UACGAAGGGGGCUAGCGUUGUUCGGAAUUACUGGGCGUAAAGCGCGCGUAGGCGGUGAUCUUUGUCAGAGGUGAAAGCCUGGGGCUCAACCCCAGAAUUGCCUUUGAAACGGGAUCGCUAGAGUCCGAGAGAGGAUGGCGGAAUUCCUAGUGUAGAGGUGAAAUUCGUAGAUAUUAGGAAGAACACCCGGUGGCGAAGGCGGU
rnacentral:rRNA from 1 species